CAUUAGAUGGCUGAAAGUAAGCAUUGGAAUUUUAAACCAAUUUAUAGUAAUAACGUCUACUUCUAAUG
rnacentral:tRNA from 1 species